GAUGAACGCUGGCGGCGUGCCUAAUACAUGCAAGUCGAACGAAACUUCUUUAUCACCGAGUGCUUGCACUCACCGAUAAAGAGUUGAGUGGCGAACGGUUGAGUAACACGUGGGCAACCUGCCCAAAAGAGGGGGAUAACACUGGGAAACAGGUGCUAAUACCGCAUAACCAUGGUUACCGCAUGGUAUCUAUGUAGAAGGUGGCUAUACUACCGCUGUUGGAGGGGCCCGGGGCGCAUAAGCUAGUGGGUAGGGUAAAGGCUGACCAAGUCAAUGAUGCGUAACCGAAGUGAUGGGGGGAUCGGCCACAUUGGGACUGAGACACGGCCCUAACUCCUACGGAAGGCAGCAGUAGGGACUCUACCACAAUGGGCGAAAGCCUGAUGGAGCGACGCCGGGUGGGUGAAGAAGGUCCUCGGAUCGUAAAACCCUGUUGUUAGAGAAGAAAGUGCGUGAGAGUAACUGUUCACGUUUCGACGGUACCUAACCAGAAAGCCACGGCUAACUACGUG
rnacentral:rRNA from 1 species